rnacentral:rRNA from 1 species
UACGUAGGGUGCAAGCGUUAAUCGAAAUUACUGGGCGUAAAGCGUGCGCAGGCGGUUGUGCAAGACAGAUGUGAAAUCCCCGGGCUCAACCUGGGAACUGCAUUUGUGACUGCACGGCUAGAGUGUGUCAGAGGGGGGUAGAAUUCCACGUGUAGCAGUGAAAUGCGUAGAGAUGUGGAGGAAUACCGAUGGCGAAGGCAGCCCCCUGGGAUAACACUGACGCUCAUGCACGAAAGCGUGGGGAGCAAACAGG